rnacentral:misc_RNA from 1 species
GAUGAAGAACGCAGUGAAAUGCGAUAAGUAGUGUGAAUUGCAGAAUUCAGUGAAUCAUCGAAUCUUUGAACGCACAUUGCGCCCGCCAGCACUCUGGCGGGCAUGCCUGUUCGAGCGUCAUUUCAACCAUCAAGCCCCCAGGGGCUUGUGCUGGGGCCCUGCGGCUGCCCGCAGGCCCUGAAAACCAGUGGCGGGCUCGCUAGUCACACCGAGCGCAGUAGCACAUCUCGCUCAGGGCGUGCGGCGGGCUCCUGCCGUGAAACCCCCCACUGUAACCCCAAAGGUUGACCUCGGAUCAGGUAGGAAUACCCGCUGAACUUAAGCAUAUCAAUAAGCGGAGGA